GGCCGAGUCAAUGGGUCCCCACUUAUGAAAAUUUCUGGAUCAACCACUGCUUAGUUCUAGUUAUCUAAGGUCCUAGUGUGAAAUAUAACCAAUAGGAAUUGGUCUUUUUAAACACUUCUACAUAGGCCUACAUGUAUACGUUUUGUCAAGGGUUGGUUCAUUACCGACCGUGCAAGGGCUGUAUAGCCAGUCAAGGUCGUUAAAAACUU
rnacentral:lncRNA from 1 species